CGGACGGGUGAGUAACGCGUGGGUAACCUGCCUUAUACAGGGGGAUAACAGUCAGAAAUGACUGCUAAUACCGCAUAAGCGCACAGGACCGCAUGGUCCGGUGUGAAAAACUCCGGUGGUAUAAGAUGGACCCGCGUUGGAUUAGCUGGUUGGUGAGGUAACGGCUCACCAAGGCGACGAUCCAUAGCCGGCCUGAGAGGGUGAACGGCCACAUUGGGACUGAGACACGGCCCAG
rnacentral:rRNA from 1 species